CUGCUUGUCAGUUUUUCCGGUAUUCCAAAAGCGCCCCUCUGUUUCAUCUCCAUCCCGUGCGUUGGCCCGUUGCAGGCGAGAAAUCCGACGGGCGGCGCCGACGCGACGUCCUCGGGCAGGCCGAGCUCUCCGCCGAAAGCCGCCGCCACGUCGUAGGAGGUAUCAGCGGUUAAGCUCGCGCUGGAUGGGAUUGGCCCUUGUGUUUCUCUGGUACAGGCGGCCAGGCCGUCAAAGAGCCGGGAGAAGAUUCUCAAGCGGCGUGCCGGAGGAUCUCAUGGCGGCAGAGGCAAUGCCCGGUUUCUAAGUGUUUUCCAUCUCCAACAGACUUAACACGAUGGCCAAAGCUAAAUCAGGAUCAUUCUAUUCAAGUUAUGAGUAAUAAGUGCAGGAAGCCUGGAGUUUUUCUUGUUUAAAGGUUCCACGGAAUGCUCAAAUAUAAGAUCUAUUAUAUGUAGGUUGUGGGCUUCUCCAAACAAACUCAACGAGUCCAAAACCACGCCACCAAGAGGUUGUAUGCAAAUUCGAAGGCCAAAAUAUUAUACACUCUAUCAGGAUAGAGCUCCUGAUGGUAUAUGGCAUGACUGCGUAUAAUAAAAUCAUCAUUGUACCACGUGGGAUUGAGUUAAGGAAGUUGUUGUAAUUUUCCAGUUUCAGCUCCAAUCUGUGCAUGAUUUUCUUCACUGGAUUGGUGAGAAUAUGAAGAAUGUACUAGAAAUGUCUAAUCCACCUAUUCCGCCAUGAUUGAACGUCACAUAGCCUCAGGGCAACACAA